rnacentral:rRNA from 1 species
AUACGGAGGGGGCUAGCGUUGUUCGGAAUUACUGGGCGUAAAGCGCGCGUAGGCGGGCUGGUCAGUUGGGGGUGAAAUCCCGAGGCUUAACCUCGGAACUGCCCUCAAUACUGCCAGUCUUGAGUUCGAGAGAGGUGAGUGGAAUUCCUAGUGUAGAGGUGAAAUUCGUAGAUAUUAGGAAGAACACCAGUGGCGAAGGCGGCUCACUGGCUCGAUACUGACGCUGAGGUGCGAAAGCGUGGGUAGCAAACAGGAUUAGAAACCCGAGUAGUCC